rnacentral:lncRNA from 1 species
UUAAUUGGUCUUUUCGAAAAUUAAGUAGUAACAGAGACUUGAUCAUUACAGAGUAUAAAGGCAUCAUUAUUUAUCUAUCUUGGCAUAUUGUAAGUCCAGACCCCACUUUGUGGGACUAUACUGGGUAGUUGUUGUUGUAUACUGUAAGUCACAACAAUCUCACAUUAGAUAUCGCUAUCGAGAAGGAAUCUGAUUAAAAGGAUUCAAAAUUCUAGUCCCAAACUCCCCAAAAAUUCUGAAAAUCAUUGAAAGGAAAAAAAAAACUCAAGUCCAUUCAAUUGGAUGAUAAUUGGUUAGAAAGUGGUAACUAUUGAAUUUUAUAGAACACUAGAACAAUGUAGUGGACUACAGGAGGGUAAAGAUACACUCAGAUGACAAAAGCAUAGUAGUGGGAUGUGCUCAGUUAGCUCAGCAUACAAAGAUUUGAACCGGGAGGGAUCUCAACUCAAUUCAUGGCCUUGAAAACACAUAUGGAAAGUAAAAGUGCCUUAUAAAGUGGCAUGUUUUACCUGGUUGGUAAUUAGGAAGGCUGUCCUCAUUCAGGAUAAUCUAAGGAAGAGGGGUAUACCAAUUGUUUCAAGAUGUUAUUUGUGUGGGAAUGAUGCUGAGACAAUCAGCCAUCUGUUUCUUCAUUAUAGAGUGACCAGCCAAUUAUGGGAUUUGUUCAUGAAUCUCAGAGGUGCUAGAUGAUAAUGCCGAGGAGCACCUCUGAACUUUUAUUAUGCUGGAACACAAAGGUAGACUUUACCACAGAUGGAAAAUAUCCCAACAACUAUUUGGUGGACAAUUUGGAAAGAAAUGAACCUGAGAUGCUUUGAAGAUAGAACCAACUCUCUACAAAAGAUUAAAACCAGCCGAUUAAGGGAUUUGUUCAUUAAUCUCAGAGGUGCUAGAUGGGUAAUGCCAAGGAGAACCUCUGAUCUUUUAAUAUGCUGGAACAUAGAGGUAGACUUUACCACAGA